rnacentral:lncRNA from 1 species
CGCAGGGAACACGCUACAGCCUUCGCCGCGGCGGGCUUGUGGGGAGCGGCGUCCCAGCCUUUCCCGGGAGGCUCAGCCAGGUGCCUGGAGCGGGAGAGUCGGACUCAGAUUCCUGCUUUACCUAGAAUAGCAACGUGCCCUGUUCCCGUUGUACCCUCUUAAAUACUAUACUUCUUAAACGGCCUGUCUCCCGGUGAGCUC